GACAGAGGGUUCAAACGUUGCUCGGAAUCACUGGGCGUAAAGGGCGUGUAGGCGGGAAGGAAAGUCGGGCGUGAAAUCCCUGGGCUCAACCCAGGAACUGCACUCGAUACUUCUUUUCUUGAGUGCCGGAGAGGAAAGCGGAAUUCCUGGUGUAGAGGUGAAAUUCGUAGAUAUCAGGAGGAACACCAGUGGCGAAGGCGGCUUUCUGGACGGUAACUGACGCUGAGGAGCGAAAGCAUGGGGAGCGAACAGG
rnacentral:rRNA from 1 species